UGCCUGCUGGUGGCGCUCCUACUGAUCA
rnacentral:sRNA from 1 species